rnacentral:rRNA from 1 species
UACGUAGGGUGCGAGCGUUGUCCGGAAUUAUUGGGCGUAAAGGGCUCGUAGGCGGUUUGUCGCGUCGGGAGUGAAAUCCACUGGCUUAACUGGUGGCUUGCUUUCGAUACGGGCAGACUGGAGGUAUGCAGGGGAGAACGGAAUUCCUGGUGUAGCGGUGAAAUGCGCAGAUAUCAGGAGGAACACCGGAGGCGAAGGCGGCUUGCUGGGCGUGAUCUGACGCUGAGGCGCGAAAGCGUGGGGAGCGAACAGG